rfam:Colinus virginianus strain Texas jcf7180006227146, whole genome shotgun sequence.
UAAGGGAUGCUUCUAGGAAUCAUUUCUGCAGCCUUCCCUUACCUAACAUCUCCUUUAUGCCCACAGUCCAAGCAUCUUUGAGAUUUCUGAAUUUCAGAGCCGAGGAUGGAGCAAUAUUUGGUGAUGAGCUUCUUGUCAUUUGUGAGCAGGAAUGAGGUUCUUUCUGAGUAGC